rnacentral:rRNA from 1 species
UACGUAGGGUGCAAGCGUUAAUCGGAAUUACUGGGCGUAAAGGGCGCGUAGGCGGCCUUCUAAGUCGAACGUGAAAUCCCCCGGGCUCAACCCGGGAACUGCGUCCGAUACUGGAAGGCUUGAAUCCGGGAGAGGGAUGUGGAAUUCCAGGUGUAGCGGUGAAAUGCGUAGAUAUCUGGAGGAACACCGGUGGCGAAGGCGACAUCCUGGACCGGUAUUGACGCUGAGGCGCGAAAGCC